GGUUCUAGCUCAGUGGUAGAGCACUUGCUCAAACAUGUGAGGCCCUGGGUUCAAUCCUCAGCACCA
rnacentral:tRNA from 1 species